GAGCAGCCGGGGUGUUAGCGGUACCUUGUACCAACAAUCCGCUAUAGUUGGGGUGAUGCUUCGCAGAGGGUUUUGGCCAUUUUAGCCGCCCUUCAUAAGUGAUGUUGACGUUUGGGUCUCACGCAAUAGAAAUCCAUGAACCGGGUCAGGGCAGGAAUGCAGCAGCCAUAAGUGGAACCUUUUAUGUGUCGUGAGGGUGCCUGGACCGAGUUAACUGUGAAGGUAACGGUAUUAUGACCGGAUUCGAAGCGAAGCGCUC
rnacentral:SRP_RNA from 1 species